UACGGGAGGCAGCAGGGGGAAUAUUGCACAAUGGGCGCAAGCCUGAUGCAGCCAUGCCGCGUGUAUGAAAAAGGCCUUCGGGUUGUAAAGUACUUUCAGUCGUGAGGAAGGUGUUAAGGUUAAUAACCUUAGCAAUUGACGUUAGCGACAGAAGAAGCACCGGCUAACUCCGUGCCAGCAGCCGCGGUAAUACGGAGGGUGCGAGCGUUAAUCGGAAUUACUGGGCGUAAAGGGCACGCAGGCGGUUAAUUAAGUUGGAUGUGAAAUCCCCGGGCUUAACCUGGGAAUGGCAUUCAAGACUGGUUAGCUAGAGUCUUGUAGAGGGGGUAGAAUUCCAUGUGUAGCGGUGAAAUGCGUAGAGAUGUGGAGGAUACCGGUGGCGAAGGCGGCCCCUGGACAAAGACUGACGCUCAUGUGCGAAAGCGUGGGGAGCAAACGAGGGAUUAGAUACCCGU
rnacentral:rRNA from 1 species